rnacentral:rRNA from 1 species
GAUGAACGCUGGCGGCGUGCCUAAUACAUGCAAGUCGAGCGAACGGACGAGAAGCUUGCUUCUCUGAUGUUAGCGGCGGACGGGUGAGUAGCACGUGGAUAACCUACCUAUAAGACUGGGAUAACUUCGGGAAACCGGAGCUAAUACCGGAUAGUAUUUUGAACCGCAUGGUUCAAAAGUAAAAGACGGUCUUGCUGUCACUUAUAGAUGGAUCCGCGCUGCAUUAGCUAGUUGGUAAGGUAACGGCUUACCAAGGCAACGAUGCAUAGCCGACCUGAGAGGGUGAUCGGCCACACUGGAACUGAGACACGGUCCAGACUCCUACGGGAGGCAGCAGUAGGGAAUCUUCCGCAAUGGGCGAAAGCCUGACGGAGCAACGCCGCGUGAGUGAUGAAGGUCUUCGGAUCGUAAAACUCUGUUAUUAGGGAAGAAUAUAUGUGUAAGUAACUGUGCACAUCUUGACGGUACCUAAUCAGAAAGCCACGGCUAACUACGUGCCAGCAGCCGCGGUAAUACGUAGGUGGCAAGCGUUAUCCGGAAUUAUUGGGCGUAAAGCGCGCGUAGGCGGUUUUUUAAGUCUGAUGUGAAAGCCCACGGCUCAACCGUGGAGGGUCAUUGGAAACUGGAAAACUUGAGUGCAGAAGAGGAAAGUGGAAUUCCAUGUGUAGCGGUGAAAUGCGCAGAGAUAUGGAGGAACACCAGUGGCGAAGGCGACUUUCUGGUCUGUAACUGACGCUGAUGUGCGAAAGCGUGGGGAUCAAACAGGAUUAGAUACCCUGGUAGUCCACGCCGUAAACGAUGAGUGCUAAGUGUUAGGGGGUUUCCGCCCCUUAGUGCUGCAGCUAACGCAUUAAGCACUCCGCCUGGGGAGUACGACCGCAAGGUUGAAACUCAAAGGAAUUGACGGGGACCCGCACAAGCGGUGGAGCAUGUGGUUUAAUUCGAAGCAACGCGAAGAACCUUACCAAAUCUUGACAUCCUUUGACAACUCUAGAGAUAGAGCCUUCCCCUUCGGGGGACAAAGUGACAGGUGGUGCAUGGUUGUCGCCAGCUCGUGUCGUGAGAUGUUGGGUUAAGUCCCGCAACGAGCGCAACCCUUAAGCUUAGUUGCCAUCAUUAAGUUGGGCACUCUAAGUUGACUGCCGGUGACAAACCGGAGGAAGGUGGGGAUGACGUCAAAUCAUCAUGCCCCUUAUGAUUUGGGCUACACACGUGCUACAAUGGACAAUACAAAGGGCAGCGAAACCGCGAGGUCAAGCAAAUCCCAUAAAGUUGUUCUCAGUUCGGAUUGUAGUCUGCAACUCGACUACAUGAAGCUGGAAUCGCUAGUAAUCGUAGAUCAGCAUGCUACGGUGAAUACGUUCCCGGGUCU